AGUUUUCCCUAUCGCGGGGACGGCGGAGUCAGUGCCGUCGCUCCUCGCGGUAGUUCUAUCGAAAGCCAGGAGGGCGGGCGCCACGGACGGCGCAUU
rnacentral:sRNA from 4 species